AACGCAACUUGCGCCCUCUGGUAUUCCGGAGGGCAUGCCUGUUUGAGUGUCGUGAACACCUCAACCCUCCAAUGUUUUUUUUGCAUUGCAGGUGUUGGUAGUGAGCGCUGCCGGUCUUUGGAUCGGCUCGCUUUAAAAUCAUUAGCUGGAUCCAUUCUGACCUGGUUCUACUCGGCGUAAUAAGUUAUUAUCGUCGAGGACGCCUGGCCUUUGUAGGCAGGGCGGCCACAGUAAGGGUGUUUGAACCGCUUCCAACACGUCUUGCUCUUGUAGCAAACACUUGAACCUCUGACCUCAAAUCAGGCAGGACUACCCGCUGAACUUAA
rnacentral:misc_RNA from 1 species